AAGUUCCGACCCGCACGAAAGGCGUAACGAUUUGGGCACUGUCUCAACAACAGACUCGGUGAAAUUGUAAUUCCGGUGAAGAUGCCGGAUACCUGCGACAGGACGGAAAGACCCCAUGGAGCUUUACUGUAGCUUGACAUUGGGUCUUGGUACUACAUGUACAGGAUAGGUGGGAGGCUUUGAAACCAGGACGCCAGUUUUGGCGGAGCCAUCCUUGGGAUACCCCCCUUGUAGUACUGGGACUCUAACCAUAGGCCAUGAAUCUGGUCUUGGGACACUGUCAGGUGGGCAGUU
rnacentral:rRNA from 1 species